AACCCGGCUGUUGCUGGGGUGAGCGAAGGCGACGUGGCAGCGCGGACGCUGCUGGGUGCCUGGGCGCCGCUGAGGCGGACAGGGGGCGGCUCUUGAGCGGCGCCGGGGAGACGGGACGGGCGGAGAAGGUGGCCACGCUCGCACAAACGUUGCGAGUAUUACUUGAGCCCUCCUUCCGCGCUGGACUGAAAUAAAAGCUUUACCGGAAUGUCCAUUUAAUCCACGGUGCAGCCUUAUGAAAUAAAUCUUAUCUCCUUUUUACGGAUGGGCCGAAGGCUGGCCUCGAUAGCCUGCGCGCUUAACUGUUAUGCUGUGUACCCUCCCGAGCUCUGUUUCAUGGCACCGCUCGCUCAUUAUUGGCAAGAACAUUCCAUUCCAGGAGGAGAGAACUGGGGAUGCAGAAGGCACAGUGGCACGAAGCGGCAUUCUGUGGAGGAACACAGGGCUUUGAGACGAAGUCUCACUGUGUUGCCCAGGCUAGUCUCAAACUCCUGAGCUCAAGCAACCCUCCCACCUCAGCCUCCCAAAGUUCGAGGAUUACAGGAACCACUAAUCUGCUUUUUGAAACUUUUUUUUUUGAGACAGAGUCUCACUCUGUCGCCCAGGCUGGAGAGCAAUGGGGCAAUCUUGGCUCACUACAACCUCCACCUCCCGGGUUGAAGGGAUUCUCCUGCCUCAGUUUCCCAAGUAGCUGGGAUUAUAGA
rnacentral:lncRNA from 10 species